GCUGUAGGGAUAUUUUAAAAGUUAAAUGAAGACAGUUCUUUCAUAGUAACAAAUACCUAGUUGCCUAGAAAAACCAUCAGUUUGGCUCAUGCCAGACAUGCAAUUUAGCAGCAAUCAGAAAACCUUCCAUGGAGAAGCCAAUAACUCAAACAUAGAUGUGAGGCAUUGUUCCUUUGGCUAACUUGAUCAAGGUAUAUGGGUUGUUCCAUUUGUAGAUUGUUGCCAUCCUUGUCUGCUAAACUCCUGACAAGAAUUACUUAUAAUGAGCACCUGUAAAAGGUAUGGGUUGGCAAGGAGAAGAAAUCAACUCAAAUGACUCAUUUCUAAGAAUGACUAGGAACUGUCACCCUAAAAAGUUGGAGGAAAAGAUUAAAAUGAGCUUUGCGGAAUCAUAUGCAGGUUGGCAGCAUCAUUUCCAAGAUCACUGGAUUUUCUUUUGUCCGUCUGCUAACCACCCACAGUCAAGUGACAAAGGAACAGGAGUCAAAUGAAAGGUUUUACUACUUGACAGAUCGAAACCAGCACCUUGCCGUGUUGUGAGAAAGCUUCCUAAGUCGAUUCAAGCCAUUACUCACAGAUACGCCAGGACUCAGAGAAGGGCAUGUUGGGUCAGUGACGUUACGGCCUUCUCCUUGGUAUUCCACCAGGACAUCUGAUCGCCAGGUCAAGUUACUGGCACCUCUCUAGAAAGAAGAGCAAACAGAGUUUGUGAGGCACAUAGACUAUGACAAAGAUCACAAAGUAAUUGACUGCUGAAGGGGACUUGGGAGUCAAAAGUAACUAGACUGUUCAUUCAGUAACUAAAGGGAAUGACUAAAACAGGUGCAUAUGAAAGCUACUGAAUUGUAUGUUUGGUACUUAAGGGCCUUUACAAAUGAUGGUCAAAUACUUUGAACAUUUAAUAGUUCCUUUCCAAGGGUACUUCUGUGAAUCAGGUCAGGAAUGGAACCUGACAAGGUUGCUAAGCAAGAAUCAAAGUCACAGGGCAAGUUGCUGAAAAGUCCAGACUAGAACACAUAAUACUGUCAUAUGCUCUAUUUAAGAACUGUUUUAUGCUCAUACUAAGGAAUGUAUAACCUAAUAGACACAAGGACAAUAAAGAAACAAAUAUUCAAUAGA